rnacentral:lncRNA from 1 species
AUUUGUUUUCUCUCGGGUUCGGUUCAGUUCCUGACCCCUAUUGUUUGUUCAAUCACUCCAAUCAACCUUCCCUUUUUUGCUUCCGCUGAGGAGAAAUUGAGAAGAGAAGGGUUGUGGCAUUCUUCCCCUAAAAGGUGCACAUCCAUCGAUUCCCUCAUCUAGUGUAGUGCUCUGUUCAGAGACCAAGGAAGCUAUUAGUUUGAGUUCCUGAUUUCCCUGUUGCCGACUAGAUUGCUUACCGACUUUCAUGAUGGAAGAAGAUACCGACUUGAGGGAAGGCAGUACAGAGCAGCAGCCUAGGGAUAAGCAGGAAUUCAGGUUAGCUUUUCUGUUUUCCGAAUCUUACCCACCUGAGAGUCCAAGAAAGAAGGCAAAACAGCUAUAUAGAGCCCCUCCCUCGAGUCGAGCAAUGAACAAGUAAGUAGGGGGGGGUAGAGACAAGGAAGAGGGGAAAUGCAGUAUCGUUAUGUUAUAGCAAGAUCAUCAGAUCAUGGGUGAAGCAAUCGAUCAUCAAAAAGUUCUUUAUCAGCCGGCGGAAAGCGUGGUAAUUCAUUCAUUUCAUCGGAAAAGGAUCGAACAGGAGUCAUCGCAUCGUUUCUAGAUCUUCGAUACCUCUAUAUUCUGAAGAAUAGGUCCUAAAAUGGUCAAUCGAUUGUUUUCUCAACGGGAAUCGAGGAAAUGGCAAGGGUUUGAGUAUAGCGAGCAGAGGAAUAGUUUCCUUUAUCAAAAGAAGCCUCUCGACUUGGAAACAGAAGAUGUUGUAACUUAACUGCACCCUUCCUCUUUCUACUGACCUCCUUGUCUGAUCCUGAAUUCCCUUUCAAACUACUUUCUUGCCUUCCUUGACCAAUGUUAUGGAUGGUGCACUGGUUGAGAAAAUAAUUGGCCCUUCCUUCUUAUAGCAACAAAAUCCAAUCUCCCCCUCAUACGAACCUACCUCCAUGACUUUCAUGUCAAACUGAAACUCCUUCCCUUGCAUUACCCAUAGCAUGCCAUCACAUUUGUGCUCACAAUACAUCUUAGCGCCAUUUGCUACUGUGAUUUCCAUAGGUUUAUACGGAGUUGAGUCGUAACCAGCCCGCUUCACAAUCUUUGGGGUCUACAAAACAGUGCGUGCUGCCACUAUCAACCAAGGCAAUCACUGGCACUCCGUUUACCUGGUAUCUCUGUCCAUAGUCGUCUCCUAUUUUGGAAGACUGAGACUUGCGACACAGCAGCAAUAUUAUUCAAAUAACAUGUCAUUCAAACGCAGCGCGCCUUGUUAAUUGCUCGUCACGUAAGUGAAUUUACGAAUAGGGAGCCCAGGUGCCCAACAAGUGAACUAUUUCCUCCUCCAGGAUUGUUGCUUUCCUUCUAUAGCCUCACGUAUGAAAAACGUGUGCCUUAUAGAGGGCUAGGCCACAAAUACAUAACAUAGAUAACAAGGGUUUCGCCAAAGUAGACGCUCAAGCGAAACAUUCCACUUAUCGAAGAAGGGAUACAGGUAUUUCAAGUUCAAGAAGUAGGCAUUGAUCCCAAAGAAUGUAGUGAAAAUCUAGGCUAGGAGGAAUGCGUCAGAGCCGAGGUCAGGCAAAAGGUUGCUGGAUCUUUAUGUUGGCCGGAAGUUAUUUCUUUUCAAUGAGGUUCAAUGUUCUCUAGAUUGCUUAGAAGUAGCCUGCCUUACUCGAGCCAACUAGGAUCAGAAGGUGUUGAUAGGGCUAGACUUUCUCUCAUGGGCGUGACCAUAUUAAAUAAAGGGUCUUUUCAUCGCUUUGGCCUGGCACUCGAGUCAACAGUUAGAAAUAGUUCCUUCGACCCUGAAACCCGCGGAAGAAACCUUAGGUAAUGAUUGGCUUCUAGCGAUGAAUAAAAUAGGUAUGUUUCUUAACACCGCGGUCUGACUUCCUAUGAGUCAAGGUACGUAAUUCCAGUUCGAGACUGUUAUUGAAGUCGUAAACAUCCGGAGGAAUAGAAUCUUCAAAUCAUUAGGGAAGGAAUGGAAUAUAGUGGUAGUCCCUUUGGCGCCAAGAAACAGAGGAAUAGGUUUCGUUGAGAUCUGCAUUCCUGAAUUGAGUAAAGUACGUGUAUGACCCAGAGAAGUGAAGGUGUUUGCCAGAUCAGAUUUGACUUGGUGCUGUCUCAUCCGAAAAGUAUGCUUGUUUCAAUCUAAUCUCAAAACACGAUUGUGUUGGUCUUCAGCUGCCAAUGAAUAUGGGUAUUCCUGGCUCAAGGAGCAGAAAGUCUCUAGUUUUCUCGCACGAGUAGAUCAUCUUGUUUCCCUAGCCAGAAAAGUCUGAUUCAACAGAAUAUCCAGGGCUAUGGUCUCUAAUGGAUGGUACCUCGCUCAAUUGAAGCUUAUGGGAAAGCAGGAGUCAUUGUCAUAUCAACAGUCAAACGCGAACCGCGCUUUAGUUGUCUACCUCUUUAGUUGCCUAACUCACUUAAGUAUGCCUACCUGAUCUCGGCUUCAUUAUCACAUAAAUGCCUGCUGAAACAAAGGAUUUUGGAGUGGCAGAGCUCAAGUAUCAUAUUAUCAUGGUGGUUACCAUUGCGCUAGAAAGCCAGAUGAGAAAGAGACACGAAGAGGUGGCAGGCGGAGGACGUUGAGAGCUAUCUUUUAGGAAUAGGAGGUCGCUUUGCGCUCUUGCUGCUUAUGCUAAUUUCAAAUUCCCAGAGACAGGGUUACUAUUUGAACCCACACGUAGAUCAGUUUAUGAUUCCAAUGUUCUAUCGACUGACUAAGUUGGUCCUUAAUUUCCAAUGAAGUUUUUAUUUUCUCGAGGGACGUAGCAAACUGUUUGGUUGGCUCCGAGCAUUAUAAAAAUAGAGUCCUGCCUGGACAAUGUUGAUAACGGGAAAUCUCUAACCUCCGUGGUGGGUGUGAAGAAGGGUACAGCUAGAAAGCGAGAGAAUAUCUUUAUGGAUAUGAGUCUGAGGCAGAAGUCUCUGAAUGCGGGCCUGACGAACCUUUUGUACCAGGAUCAUCACGAGACUCUGUUUCUGUGGUAGAUGACUCAAUAGGCAGGGCCUAGAACCUCUAAAGAGGGUGUGACCGAUCACCAGAUCACGAUCAAGAAGAGUCAAAGCUGUCUUACUAGCGCGAGCAAUCAUCCAACUAUGGUGGUUUCUCAACCGGUGGGUACAUUUCUGUUGCACAUUGUGAGUUCAUAUUUUCUUUUCUAAGAAACAAAAGUUCGAGCAGAUGCCGUUCUAGCAGGUACAAGAACUCCCGUUCGGUAGGCGUCUGCUUUAGCAAUGUCUUUGAUUUCCAAUCCUCGAUCAACAAUUUGAGGAAGACGAGACAGAAGCCUUUGGAUGAAACCAAUGAAUCUUCCGAUCCGAAAGACUAAGGGGCUAGGCGCUCACCUACUAUCUACACAUUUCCUCUUUGGCGUUGGCUCCACCAGUUUUGACUGCGAGUCGCUUUAGUUAUCUCAAAUCUUUGGCAGGAAGGGGCCAAGCCAAAUAGUGCUCUUUAGAAGCGUAAUCCGUGCUUGAAACUCCUUCGCCAGGAUCCAAAAACCUAUGCUUCCGCUCUGCCUCACCAGGCAAUGCUUACUCUUCUCGAUCAAGAGGGCUCUUUUGGAGACUUUGAAGCUCAAGGACACGACAGCGCUUGAAACAAAUGCUUUGUUUUGGCACCUUCGUCUUCCUUUCUAACAUUAGUAAAUUCGAGCUAAUGGGACCAGUUUUGAAUUGCCUAGAGGGUGGAGAAGUCACAUCAUCUGAGGUUUGUUGUGGGUUCAAUUAUGACCCCGGUCUAGAAGACGGAGUGGUUGCACGUGUAAGUACAUCAUGUUACAUAUCUAUUUUAAGCUAAGCUAAAUGCCUAAACUAAACAAUUUUAUAUUAAGCGCGGCAUCCUCUCUUCGGGGUUUACGCGUCCUAGUCCGAACCAUUGGAUCGAUCAGAAGAAGAAAGGCAAAGGAAUUGAAAGGUAGAGUAAGAAGCAUCGCCCAGAUCAAUGGAAAAUGGAAGUUUCUAGAAUUGCUGCUCUGUUCUGUUCAAGAAGUCUUUCUCCAGGGUUCGGUUCAGAAGGCGGGAUGGAAGAGAGAGAAUGGGCUCAUCGUGCGACAAGGUCGAUCGAUCACUCAAACUGUUCGGUAUCUCUACAAUUGAGUGAGCUGUGUUGCGAAGGAAAAUGAUGAAAUUGCUUACUUUUCACAGGCGUGAAUUCUAUCUUCGAUUAGAUAGUUUCCAUGCUUUUGAUAAAAAGAUGGGUUGGUAGGCAGGAUGAGAAGUUCAGUUAAAGAUUUCUCUCUGCUCAGUGAAGGGAAUAGCUUCCUUUUUCUUGGACUUGGGGUCAAGUAGUGGGAAACUAGAAUCCUUCGAUUCCCUCGUGUAGUGUUCUGUUCCAUAUUUGUGUAUCCAGCUUAUCCCGGUAUCUGCUCUGCUCCGUGAAGGAAAGGAAAAAGCUUUCUAUCUGCUUUCUCUGUAUCCACCUUUACUCGGUAUUCUGUUCCUGAUUUGCAUUUCACCACCUUAUCUAUUUCCUCCAUACUAAAAGGUUGAAUGAGGGCCUCAGCUUCUUCAUUAGAUAAGCACCCAGUGAUAUCCCAGAUAUCAUGCCGUAAGUGAACAUUGCUUCACUCUACUCUCCCAAAUCCACUUUCUAGUAUGAAGUGAUAUGCUCUCUUAGCUCUUUUGGAGAAUGUAUAGAUUUCUCACCAUCUUCCUUGAUAGAAAUCCUAUUCUUUCUUUUCCUCCCAUUUGCUUUUUUAUGGAAAUAAGCAGUGUCCCUUUAGCAGCCACUCUACUGUUCACCGGGGGGGGGGGGGGGGGGCUUUUCUGCCAAUAUAACUCUUCCAUCUCACAAAUUUGGACCAAUUGAGCUUCCAAUUCAUAUCUUAGCCUCCAUUCAUUAGGAUUUAGCUCUGUAGUUUCAGCUUUGCUAUCAAUGACAGACAUAUAGCAGUAAUUAGAUUGGAUUUACUUCUUCUAUUGUCAGUAGCAUCAUUUGCCUUCCACCCUCUCAAGAACUUCCUGAAGCCCUGAGACACUUGUUGCCAAUAGUCUGGAAUGGAACAUUUGCAACAGUUCUUGUAGGCCAUUUCUGUAACAGCAUAUCUCUAAACCCUUCUUGCGGAUGGUUCAAAACGAAACUUAGUGGCAGCCCCUAUCUUCCCCAUUUUCUAGAAGUAAAGGACAAUGAUCUGACCCAGCUUGCAAGAGGGAUAGUAAAACUUAGGAAAUAAAUCCUCAUAAGUUGAAGAAACCAGAACUCUAUCCAAAACUUCUCUCACUGGCCUGUCUUGUUUGUUAGUCCAGGCCACCAACCCUUCUCAGUUCCUGUAGUUCAGUUUCAGAUAUGAAAGCAUUAAAAGCUUCCAUCCUAUUAAUAUGUAUUCUGCCAUUGUUUCAUGAGCAAAUCUGAUCAUGUCCCGCAAAGGUAGAUCAACACUCUGCACAAAGUUAGUGAGCUCUGACAAAAACAUAGCUCUUAAAGACUGUUUGGUUGGACCAUAAACAUCCACCCAAGCACAAUUAUCACAAAGCCUCUAUACUCAAACACCAUGGAGAAAUUGACCCUCCCCAAUGAGGUCUGCAUCCAUGACAUCCAGAUUGACUCCAAUAAGCAUUCCACCUUUACUGCCACUGGCUGGCUUGCAAAACCACUUGAAAAGCUUUCUGCCACCAAUUGCCAUUAACUCUUUAUCUGAGAACUGUUCUCUCUUAGUUUCUUGCACACAAACUAUGUCCACCCACUCUAUCACUUCAGAAGGUUGCCCCCUUCUACCUGGCCAGGCCCCUCACAUUCAAGAUUAGUGUCUUCAUGGCGGUAUCUGUUUUUUGUUAUGCCUCCUCUUAGCUCUGCUCGUAGUGUUCUUGUCACCAACUCGUAUACAAGUACUGUGAUUAUCUAACUCUUCAACAAUCUGAGUAAUAUCCUCAUUCUCUGAAUCAGAGCUUAACUCGACACUGGAAGACUGCUCCUUCUCAUGAGCAGCUAACUUCUUUUUCUGAGCAGCUUCAUAAAGCAAUGCUUGAGCAAGUUCUCUUGCUUUAAUAGAAUUUAUAGACCUGUCAAUUUCCUCCUGUGUACUGCCCAACACUAGACCACUAUCUACAGCAGAUUUUACUAGACUAGCAGAAUCAAUGGAAUUGCAAAUAGCAUAUCUGUUAGUAGAAGACAUACCUGGUUCAUCAAGAUUCUUGCGUGAAGCCAUCCUUUCUGCACGUUGCUGAAUAGGCAUGCCAUCCUUCGGGAUCCUAUCCUAGCACUUGUCCUCGUUGCUUUAAUUCUUGCGUUUGCACCUCAUUGAACUUCUCUUGUUCUUUGGUCAUUCCAGAAAAAACCUCCAUACCUUAAUAAUAGGGGCUUGUGUAUAAAGGAAAGCAGCAAACCGGUCAAAGGCGAGGGGGGAUCUCAACUCUCUGACUUGAAGGAAGAUGUGGCGGAUCUCAAGGCUGGCUCUAUUCCAAGUACAAGUUCCGAGGUGAAAUGCGUUGAUGUGGCCAAUCGAUAUACAGUAUAGUUGAAUGGUUCGACAAGUUCACAUGCCGGAGCUACCUGUUCUCCGCGAUUCAAGUUGGUUCUUCUGCCCCGCUCCACCAGAAUUGCGCAGACAUCGACACUAGCUUCUGACAAGUACCCUUUGAUAACUGAAAACAGCUCAUGCUGUAGGUUGGCAUCGCCUGAAUGACUGCCUUUAUUAGCGUUUCCUUUCCAUGCAUGCGUUCUUUCUCUCCUCCCCUCAGCCACACAUCUUUUUCGUUCGCUCCCCAUUUUAUUCUCUAAGGAACCCUCUCCUUAAUGAGCGUAGAUUGAUGGAGAUGGCUUUUGUACCGGUCAAUCUUUAUAUCCUUUCUGGCAUAGUUUUGUAAAAGAUCGGCAGGUGAUCCGUCCUUUCUCCUCUGCCGUGGUUCAUGCAUUCUUCCUUUUUGGAAAGCGGAUAGGGAUCGGGUGAAUUAGAGAAUAGACAGACGUCCGUUGGCAUUUCAGCCUUUCUUCUCCUUUCAGGGCCUAUCCGAAAGAGAAUCCAGUACCUCUUGGUCCUAAAUAUCAGAAUAGGACGCGCAACAACGGAACAACAAGAGCAAGACCGCUCCAAACUAAAUCACAGUAGAAGUUAUGGCCACUCAGGCUGGACCAAAACAGCAAGCGGAAGGUCUCCGAAAGUCCUACAUUAGCACCAAGCCAUCCCCCAAGGGAGGGUAUAACGGAGUGUGGUAAAAUCCAGUUGCUAACGCUCCCGGCUGUGGGUUCUUCACAAUUAGCAGGGCUUCUAUUCUAGUACAGAGAUCACCACUUGUUAUGCCAGGGUCUCCUUUUUCGAGUUGGUUACUGUCUUGUUGAGCAACGUUUUCCCGGCAAUCUCCGCUUAUUAGGGUGGCCUCUAACAGGUCGGGAGAGUACUAAAAAUCUGGCUCAUACGCCUCGCAAGAUUGAACAUCUGCGAAAGUCGUCUCGAAGCUCUGACUCUCGAGAGAAAGUCUUGCCUACCAGUGACUUAUUUUACUGAAUAAGAAUGCCUACUGUACUAGCUUCUUUCUUGACUCCAUUAACUCAGUUUACAGAAAGGAAUCCGUCCAGUCCAGUAAGAAGGAAUAGAGAAGAAGAAAGUCACUCAUCAACUCCUACUUUGGUUAUUGAGACUUGCCCGCGUAUCUGACCUAUGUGUACCUAUUCCCUAGCCUAAGUAGCUUACCCACUGUCCUAAUAACUGUCUGUCAAUCCGGCAGCUUGCCCUACUGCCUAUCGACGCUACUGUCCUAAGUCUCCUACUCAUAUACCCAAGGUCAAAGACUUUGCAGGGCAACAAACUGAUUUCGGAAUUGCUUAACUGCUGAGAGCUAAUAUCGGGGAGUAGUAAGCCAGCCCACCACAAGAUGAAUGAGUGCUCCUCUCCUAUGCCGACUUACUAGCCAGGUUGAGCCUUUGAGCCAUAAGAGGAGGGAGAAUCUUGUUGAUUUUCCAGGGAAUGAUUAUAUGGAUUUCAAGGAGGAUAUUGUUACCUUCAUCAGAUUGAUUGAUAACUGGUCGUCGAUUGACAACUACUGCUUUUUCCAGUGAGAAAGGAAGGAGGAAGGGGAUCUCAACAAGCCAUGGAUAUAUAGCCUACAGCCGAGUCCACAAAGAAGACGGUUUCAAAGCUCGAAGAGCAUAUUUGUGAGGCUGAUCCCUAAGUGCAGAGUUUCAUGUGACGAACAACGAAACUCCAUUUCUUGAAACACAACCCUGUGCCACCGACAAACGUUUGACUUUGACUGUGUUUUUUUUGGGCUAUGAAGAUUCUACUUAUACCCAAUGAUGGAACAUUUUGAAAAUAUGUUCAACGGGGUCUUAAGAAAGGCAAAUUUCAGGCCUGUAGUUUUUAAGAUCAUCUCGCUAAUCGAAAGAUGAAGGAUAGCGAACACUAGAUGGCUAGUGGCCUUAUGCAAACAAAGAAGAGGGAUGCCUAACCAAUUGAUCCUAAAAGAUCUUAUUUGAGAUAGGUCAGAUUGGACUUAGUGGCCAACGUUAGGGAUGGUAGAGUCAAUAUGGGAUGUGGAAUUCCAGGAAACGUUCUUAUCCGCGCUCACUGAUAAUGUGAACCUGGUCCUUAGUUUCCUCCAACUGAUUCCUGUUUUUUUGAGCCUUUUUCAGUAAGUCCUUAAUAGCUAAAAAUGCUUUGACUCUAAGGGUUACCUUGGUACCUUUAUUCGGAUAUGCUUCUUUUCGGACAGGAGGGGCAGAUUGACAUUCAGGCAAUGGCACAUGGAUUCUAUUGAGAAGGGCUGGCUGCUCUCGACGACGGGGUGGGGGAAUGAGAUGCUGGGAGAUGGGAGUUAUUGGUGGAUUGAGAGGGGAGCAGAUGCGUGGGCUAGUUCAAUCUUUUUGCUCCUGCCUUCCUAGCCUUAUGGACAGGAGUCCUCUGGCCUAGUCUUGAAACUCUUCCCGCAGCCUUCCUUGCCCUUAUUGCCCGGCAUACCUCGGAAGGCAUACCCUGGAACCAAUUCAUUCAUCUGCCCUCUUCGCGAUAAAGCUUUGCCUUACUUUGCUUGCUGGCUCUAAGCCCACCUCCUUUACUACACUACACCCUCUCACCGCCCCUAUUCAGCCCGAAAGGCUUCUAACUUCCCCGAAACCUUACUUAUUCAGGGCAAGAUUCGGAACUUAGGGUCACUGCCUUUCAUCCGCCUUUCUCUCAUAUGCUUAGAACCUAUCCAUAGAAAUGGAAUUCAAAACUUCGGAAUAGUUUCGAGGAGAGCCGAGAGGACACGUUCAAGGAGUAGUGUAAAGUAGCAGACAGAGGGGCGCUCCCGCUUAGGCAUUAGGCAUUAGGCACGAGAAAGGACAUCGUUCUCGGCCGUCCCUUCCUUCCCGGAAAAAGGCUCUCUUGCAUCUUUUGCUUCCCCACCCGGCCUCUAUUCUAGAUUCACCGUCUUCGGAUGCAUCAGUUUAUUAUGCUUAUGCCUAAUCUUAAUACUGGCUAGUUACUUCAAUUACCUUACCCCACCGCCCCUCCUUUUAAGGAGGUUUCAGAGCACCCAGUCACAGCUCGUCACAAGAAAGGAUUGAUGGUCGAGUCCCCGUGCAUGAAGUCAGUGGAUUCGAGUGAACUGACCGUACUACAAAUCGACAUACUUGAGGAAGCUUCUUACUAAACCAAAGAAAGGGCAGCUCCAGUUGUGUUGUCG